rnacentral:lncRNA from 1 species
GCAUGUCCAUCUGCAGCCAUCCUCUGUUUUUCCUUACUUUUUUUACCAGCCUCCUUUAUCUCCCCUUUUGGAUGGCUGGAUGUCAGCAGCUUGAAUGACCCUUGCCGCGUGCUCUGUGACAUUCACCAAUCUGUGAUCUUCUGCAUCCGCUGCGGGACACUUGGAGUAUGCCACACACAUUCUUCUGAAUUUUUUAUUCUGUGGUUUUCUUCAACCUUGGCCAGUGGAAUACUCAUGAGGAAUUACAUGAAAACGUGGCGGUGCUUAGUUUUCCUCCAUGCUCUGCAGCAGUAAUAACAGUGGGAAGGAGAUGCGAGUGGAGGAUGCUAUGGGGAUAAAAGUGAACUGCAGGCUCACAGGGCAGUGAUCCUGGAUCUACUACAUCCCAUCAUUCCCUGGGGCUUUUAUCAGUGUAUAAAUCAGAAGUCAAAACACACUCAGUUAGGGCUAGUGGUUAAUGUACCCAAUCACCCCGUGAUUCCUCUGGAAGAAAAUGACCUUCACAAAGAGCUAAAUAAAUUACUAGUCAGACACCCUUGCAUGUGUAUUUACAGAUACGCGCACAUGAGCUUGCUUACAUGCAAGUUUAACCAAGUCUGCACAUUUUCUUUGGAUACAGCGGCAUGACCUCCUGAGUUAGCUUGAAGCAGGAGUUUAGUUCCUGGCCACAGAGAUGGAACCGUCUGUGUCCACUGCUCAGUGUGGAUGGUCUGGACAUCAUGCUCUGGCUCUGUAAAGAUGACAGGAAACAACAUAUUGGGAGAGCGGCUGCAGUCAGGAAGCUUGUCUGAAACUUGGUGACCUCAGUGGCUUAUGCUGAUCUGCCAGGGGCAGAAAAUCAAUGGGGAUUUAAUUCUGUGCAUGCCUCAUAAAAUCCAAAUAGCUGGACUAUGCACCAGUGGACGUGCAAUUGAGCCUCUCUGAGCUGACGAUGCACUGCCUUUUUAGUUUGGAGGAUGGACAUGAAGUUAACAAAAACGGAACUUUAUAAAACAUCACUGUGGAAGCUAAGACGCAUGUUUUUUUCUGUUCUGUGGUGAAAAGGGUGUGACUUUUUGCAUUGUGUGUGGACUUUUCAUAUGGAUGAUACAAAAAGGAUUUAUUCUGGAGAUGGAUAAGACAGUUUAUCUAUCUACACUGCAACUGCCACCAAAAUAAACAAUUGUGAAAGGAGGAGAGAGAGAAAACU